rnacentral:rRNA from 1 species
CCUACGGGAGGCAGCAGUGGGGAAUCUUGCGCAAUGGGCGAAAGCCUGACGCAGCAACGCCGCGUGCGGGAUGAAGGCCUUCGGGUUGUAAACCGCUUUUAACAGGAACGAAAAUGACGGUACCUGUAGAAUAAGGUGCGGCCAACUACGUGCCAGCAGCCGCGGUGACACGUAGGCACCAAGCGUUGUCCGGAUUUAUUGGGCGUAAAGAGCUCGUAGGCGGUUCGAUAAGUCGGGUGUGAAAACUCUGGGCUUAACCCAGAGACGCCACUCGAUACUAUUGUGACUAGAGUUCGGUAGGGGAGCGGGGAAUUCCUAGUGUAGCGGUGAAAUGCGCAGAUAUUAGGAGGAACACCGGUGGCGAAGGCGCCGCUCUGGGCCGAAACUGACGCUGAGGAGCGAAAGCGUGGGUAGCAAACAGGAUUAGAUACCCUGGUAGUCCACGCCGUAAACGGUGGGCACUAGGUGUGGGCUCCAACCAACGGAGUCCGCGCCGUCGCUAACGCAUAGUGCCGCCGUCGGNGGUACGGCCGCGAGUAAACGUACAAGAGAGUAGCGNGNGAGACGUCGCGACGACGACGACGAGGAGG